rnacentral:rRNA from 1 species
UACAGAGGUCUCUAGCGUUGUUCGGAUUCAUUGGGCGUAAAGGGUGCGUAGGCGGCGCGGUAAGUCGGGUGUGAAAUCUCGGAGCUUAACUCCGAAACUGCAUUCGAUACUGCCGUGCUUGAGGACUGGAGAGGAGACUGGAAUUUACGGUGUAGCGGUGAAAUGCGUAGAUAUCGUAAGGAAGACCAGUGGCGAAGGCGGGUCUCUGGACAGUUCCUGACGCUGAGGCACGAAGGUCAGGGGAGCAAACGGG